UACGUAGGUGGCAAGCGUUGUCCGGAUUUAUUGGGCGUAAAGAGCGUGUAGGCGGCCAGGUAGGUCAGCUGUGAAAACUCGAGGCUCAACCUCGAGACGUCGGUUGAAACCACCUGGCUAGAGUCCGGAAGAGGAGAGUGGAAUUCCUGGUGUAGCGGUGAAAUGCGCAGAUAUCAGGAAGAACACCCGUGGCGAAGGCGGCUCUCUGGGACGGUACUGACGCUGAGGAGCGAAAGCGUGGGGAGCGAACAGG
rnacentral:rRNA from 1 species